CCGAGUUUACAACUCCCAAACCCCUGUGAACAUACCUACUAUGUUGCCUCGGCGGAUCAGCCCGCGCCCGUAAAACGGGACGGCCCGCCAGAGGACCCCUAAACUCUGUUUCUAUAGUGGAACUUCUGAGUAAAACCAUAAAUAAAUCA
rnacentral:misc_RNA from 1 species